UACGAAGGGGGCUAGCGUUGCUCGGAAUUAUUGGGCGUAAAGGGUGCGUAGGCGGCCUGACAAGUCUGAUGUGGAAAGUCCCUGGGCUCAACCCAGGGCCUGCAUCGGAAACUGUCGGGCUUGAGUAUGGGAGAGGUGAGUGGAAUUUCCGGUGUAGCGGUGAAAUGCGUAGAUAUCGGAAGAACACCUGUGGCGAAAGCGGACUCACUGGACCAUUACUGACGCUGAGGCACGAAAG
rnacentral:rRNA from 1 species